GGGGCAGUGGUCUAGCUCGGUUAUGACAACUCCCUUACGCGGAGUAGGUCGGCGGUUCAAAUCCGCUCUGCCCCACCA
rnacentral:tRNA from 1 species